rnacentral:rRNA from 1 species
UACGUAGGCAGCGAGCGUUGUUCGGAGUUACUGGGCGUAAAGAGUGCGUAGGCGGUUUUCGAAGUUUGGUGUGAAAUCUCCCGGCUUAACUGGGAGGGUGCGCCGAAGACUGGAAGGCUUGAGUAUGGGAGAGGUAAGCGGAAUUCCUGGUGUAGCGGUGAAAUGCGUAGAUAUCAGGAGGAACACCUGCGGUGUAGACGGCUUACUGGACCAUCACUGACGCUGAGGCACGAAAGCGUGGGUAGCAAACAGG